rnacentral:rRNA from 1 species
GAUGAACGCUGGCGGCGUGCCUAAUACAUGCAAGUCGAGCGAACGGACGAGAAGCUUGCUUUUCUGAUGUUAGCGGCGGACGGGUGAGUAACACGUGGAUAACCUACCUAUAAGACUGGGAUAACUUCGGGAAACCGGAGCUAAUACCGGAUAAUAUUUUGAACCGCAUGGUUCAAAAGUGAAAGACGGUCUUGCUGUCACUUAUAGAUGGAUCCGCGCUGCAUUAGCUAGUUGGUAAGGUAACGGCUUACCAAGGCAACGAUGCAUAGCCGACCUGAGAGGGUGAUCGGCCACACUGGAACUGAGACACGGUCCAGACUCCUACGGGAGGCAGCAGUAGGGAAUCUUCCGCAAUGGGCGAAAGCCUGACGGAGCAACGUCGCGUGAGUGAUGAAGGUCUUCGGAUCGUAAAACUCUGUUAUUAGGGAAGAACAUAUGUGUAAGUAACUGUGCACAUCUUGACGGUACCUGAUCAGAAAGCCACGGCUAACUACGUG